rnacentral:rRNA from 1 species
UACGUAGGUGGCAAGCGUUGUCCGGAAUUAUUGGGCGUAAAGCGCGCGCAGGUGGUUUCUUAAGUCUGAUGUGAAAGCCCACGGCUCAACCGUGGAGGGUCAUUGGAAACUGGGAAACUUGAGUGCAGAAGAGGAUAGUGGAAUUCCAAGUGUAGCGGUGAAAUGCGUAGAGAUUUGGAGGAACACCAGUGGCGAAGGCGACUAUCUGGUCUGUAACUGACACUGAGGCGCGAAAGCGUGGGGAGCAAACAGG